rnacentral:rRNA from 1 species
UACCAGCACCCCGAGUGGUCGGGACGUUUAUUGGGCCUAAAGCAUCCGUAGCCGGUUUUACAAGUCCUCCGUUAAAUCCAACUGCUUAACAGAUGGGCCGCGGAGGAUACUAUAAGACUAGGAGGCAGGAGAGGCAAGCGGUACUCAGUGGGUAGGGGUAAAAUCCGUUGAUCCAUUGAAGACCACCAGUGGCGAAGGCGGCUUGCCAGAAUGCGCUCGACGGUGAGGGAUGAAAGCUGGGGGAGCAAACCGG